ensembl:lncRNA
CUCCGGCAGCGCCGCAGAGCCGCGGCCUGAUGAAUGCGGAGCGCGGGCACCCGCCGGGGCCGGCUCGCGAUUCCCGGCAAGCGGCCCGGGCGCCCCUGCGGAGACGCGGCUCCGGCUGCUCGGCUGCGACCCCUGGCGGCCAGCGGAGAAACUCUCCGCAGAGCUUCCCAAGCGAAGGGGCCGCGGGACAGACAGAAAGCAAAAGGGAGGAUUUUAAAAGAAACUGGGAUGAAGAAACUGAAGUCAGGCUGGCAAUGUGAUUUUUCCAAGACUGUGUCAUUAAUGGCCAAAUAACACACCUAACCCUUCAUGGGGCCAGAAGCAACCAUUAAGUCUCCUGACAAAGGAAAUAAAUACCAGUAAAUACUUGUUCCACUUUCAAGUCCAGCUUUUCCAGGAACAUAGCACCAAAACAGACUUCCCAUCUAGCCGACCAAGGGCUGAGUCUCCCUGGAGGGGGUGGUGGGUGAGGGUGGGGGGAGGAUUACUUCACAACAAGACGAAGUGUCACAAUAAUAACUAGAAAGAUCUCACAGGAGUAAACUUUCCCAACAUUUACAUACAGCAACUCCCUCUCCAUAUUGUGACAACAUGCAAAUUUCCUACCUAACUCUGUCUUUCCACCAUUAGCAUGGUCACUCACAUCCCACAAUAAGAAGAUGAGAUGCUGCCGAGUAUGGAAAGAACCUCAGUGGGUUAUCUGCCUUCAAGGUGUCACCCCUUUCCCAGGCUUUGAUGCACCAUGAUAUGUAGUCCAGACCCCCAGCCCAUGGAAAGUCCCAUCAGGUUCUGCAUUCCCCUGAGGAUGAUGUUCUGGGCAUGCCUGUGCAGCCCAAAGCUGCUAUGGUUGGGCUUUACCCUGGGGCUCUUGGGCUACAAGAGGCCAGGGUAGCCACUGUCAAGGAUGAGAGGUCCGAGACCACAGAAGAAUGUGCAGUCUGCUACAAGAGAAAAAGGAGCUGUCACGGUGCCUUCUCUCUGGGGAGCUGUGUCAGAACCGUAGACAAAGGUUUGAGCAGAGGCUGCAGCCACACAGAGCCCGUGCUAUCCUUGCCUCUCCUCCUCCUGUCAGAUGACCUCACCAUCUUCCUCCACAUCCCCUGGCUGCUGAAGAUUCUUGCUGCCCCGGGCCUCUGCCUGUGGUCUGUGGAAAAAAAUAUUUUAUUUCUGAUGCCAGCUUUAUGGGCAUGGACCAGGACCCAUCAAUAAUCCAUAGCUUCGGGUGAACUCCAGGAACCCAAAGCUUGGUGAGUGAGACCACAGACAGAAGACAACAUGAAGGCUCCUGGGGUCAUAGGGAAGUGGAGCCCAACUCACCCUCCCUUCACUCUGUACGCCCACAUGUGCAGCCUCGAUGGCAUCGGCCUACUGGCUCCAGCCCACUCUUCCUACACAGACUUCACCCCUACCCCUGCACCCACUUAGACUGGCAUCUCACUGCCCUGAACCUCAUCUCACCCUCUCCUGCUUUCAUCCUUGUCUGAAAGUCCUUUCCCAAAUCCAAGUCUUUAAGGUCUGGCUCAAGUCCAAGAGCACCACAAAGACUUCAAGACAAUGCCAGUCAUCACUGCUUUGAACCCCUACCACAACCCCAUCUUGUCAUCCGGGCACGUACUGUGGGCAGAUGCCAUCGCCUAUACAAAGCUCAGAUGGGUACCAAGGGUAAGGGUGGCCCAGCCAGCUGCAAACCCAGGCCCUGUCAUUUCCUCAAGUUAAGUCUGCCUCUGUGUCCUUUUCUGCAAAAUGAGCCUGGAAAUAGAAUCUACCUCCUAGAUUUAUUUUGAAACCUAAAUGAGAGAAGACUUUAAAGCAGUUGGCACAGGGCCAGGCAGGAAGUAGGUUCUGGGUGCGUGGCACGUAUGAGCAUUGUUAGCAAUGUCCCCACCACCCCAGUCACAGCAUGAUGCAUGGUGGGCCACUAUGUGGGACCUGCUCUGGGCCACCACAGAUGUUAUGGUCUGCCAGGAGAGUCUGAAGGUGGUGUGGCUUGUACCUCGGUGCCUAGGACUUCUAAUCAACCCUCUCUUGGAUGUUUGCUCAGAUUUCUUUCUCCCCACAAGAUGCAGACUCGUGUUCAUGACUCAGGAGCCGCUUCCAGGCGGAUUGCACAAUUAGCACUCCGAGAUCCACCACCACACUGUUACUGGUGAAGCUCAGAACCUGCUCCCUCUUCCCUCAGACUGACUUCCUCUCAGGAGGAGCCUCAAUUCUCAUGCAAGCAGGUUACCCAGAGACCUCGGAAUUUUAGAUAUCCCCAGACCUGUCAAUGUCUUUAGACUUGAGGUGGGCAUCUCCUCCCACUUCAGUUACAAUUAGAAAUAAAUUACACACCCUUCCAAACUGACA